rnacentral:tRNA from 1 species
GGCCCUGUGGCGGAACGGCAGACGCAUCGGAUUUAAAAUCCGUAGCCCCGAAAGGGGCGUGUGGGUUCGAGUCCCACCGGGGCCA